UACAGAGGUCUCAAGCGUUGUUCGGAUUCAUUGGGCGUAAAGGGUGCGUAGGUGGCGCGGUAAGUCGGGUGUGAAAUCUCGGAGCUUAACUCCGAAAUUGCAUUCGAUACUGCCUUGCUGGAGUACUGGAGAGGAGAUUGGAAUUUACGGUGUAGCAGUGAAAUGCGUAGAUAUCGUAAGGAAGACCAGUGGCGAAGGCGAAUCUCUGGACAGUUACUGACACUGAGGCACGAAGGCCAGGGGAGCAAACAGG
rnacentral:rRNA from 1 species